GACGAACGCUGGCGGCGUGCCUAAUACAUGCAAGUAGAACGCUGAAGGAGGAGCUUGCUUCUCCGGAUGAGUUGCGAACGGGUGAGUAACGCGUAGGUAACCUGCCUGGUAGCGGGGGGUAACUAUUGGAAACGAUAGCUAAUACCGCAUAACAGUAGAUGUUGCAUGACAUUUGCUUAAAAGGUGCAAUUGCAUCACUACCAGAUGGACCUGCGUUGUAUUAGCUAGUUGGUGAGGUAACGGCUCACCAAGGCGACGAUACAUAGCCGACCUGAGAGGGUGAUCGGCCGCACUGGGACUGAGACACGGCCCAGACUCCUACGGGAGGCAGCAGUAGGGAAUCUUCGGCAAUGGACGGAAGUCUGACCGAGCAACGCCGCGUGAGUGAAGAAGGUUUUCGGAUCGUAAAGCUCUGUUGUAAGAGAAGAAGGAGUGUGAGAGUGGAAAGUUCACACUGUGACGGUAUCUUACCAGAAAGGGACGGCUAACUACGUG
rnacentral:rRNA from 1 species